CAAUAGCGUAUAUUAAAGUUGUUGCAGUUAAAAAGCUCGUAGUUGAACUUUGGGCCUGGCAGGCCGGUCCGCUUUUUGGCGAGUACUGACCCUGCCGGGCCUUUCCUUCUGGCUAACCUCCCCUCUGGAGAGGCGAACCAGGACUUUUACUUUGAAAAAAUUAGAGUGUUCAAAGCAGGCCUUUGCUCGAAUAUAUUAGCACGGAAUAAUAGAAUAGGACGUUUGGUUCUAUUUUGUUGGUUUCUAGGACCAUCGUAAUGAUUAAUAGGGACGGUCGGGGGCAUCAGUAUUCAGUUGUCAGAGGUGAAAUUCUUGGAUUUACUGAAGACUAACUACUGCGAAAGCAUUUGCCAAGGACGUUUUCAUUAA
rnacentral:rRNA from 1 species